rnacentral:hammerhead_ribozyme from 1 species
GCACUACUGAGGAGUCCCAUAAUAGGACGAAAUGGCUGUUCAGUGC